rnacentral:rRNA from 1 species
GCUUGUCUCAAAGAUUAAGCCAUGCAUGUCUAAGUACAAGCCUCAGUAAGGUGAAACCGCGAAUGGCUCAUUAAAUCACACCUAAUCUACUGGAAAGUUACUAGUUACUUGGAUAACUGAGGUAAUUCUUGAGCUAAUACAUGCGAAAAAUCUCGACUCACGGAGAGAUGCUUUUAUUAGAUCAAAACCAAACGGCUUCGGCCGUCUCAUUGGUGACUCUGAAUAACUUUGGGCUGAUCGUAUGGCCUUGUGCCGACGACGUUUCCUUCGAAGGUGUGCCCUAUCAACUGUCGACUGUGAUAUAGACGCUCACAGUGGUUUUGACGGGUAACGGGGAAUCAGGGUUCGAUUCCGGAGAGGGAGCCUUAAAAACCACUGUGAGCGUCUAUAUCACAGUC